CCUGCCUUCACCCGACACCCAUGGAUGCUGAUGCUCCCGUUCUAUGCCUCUCGGGUUUGAGCUGCAAACGUGCUUGCCUGCGGCUCUGCUGUCCUUCGGCUUCCUCGUUUGUUCCUGCUUCUAUACAAGUAUCUGCCAGUUGUUGAUUCUUCCAGAGCGUCUGCUGUGUUCUUGGUGUCUCUGACAAGACUGUAAGCUGCCUGAAAAUACGGAUCGCCUUCGAAUUGUAGAACUGAGAAAUGGCGGGGAGCAGGCACAGUGUCUUUGAGAUGAUCCAGGAGCCACACAGAGGCGGGGAAAUGAGAGCAGAGAAACUGGCCCAGGCCCAGGGGGCCUCGGAGUCCAGGCGGGACCUUGGUCUCUGAUUGUGCCUCAGAAGUGAAUCAGCACCGCCGCCUUCUGUCCUUGGGAUGCUCCACUGAGCACCACCGUGGGAUUCGCCAACAGCCACGCAGGGCCCUCGGCCCGGCCUUGCCCCACGGGCACUCCUGGCAGGACAGACAGACACACGGCUGGAAGGAUGCGUUCUCCCAAGGAAACUGGUGCUGUGUGGACCACAGGCAGGUGUGCCUUUAUAGCAACACAAAUGGACUAAGACAACAGCCAUCAGUGAGCCAAGGAGAAAUAUGAGUUUCUGACCUACAUCAUUUUCCUUCUCUGAAGAACUUCUUGUAACAUUUCUUACAAGGCAGAUCUACUGACAACAAAUCCCCUUAAGAAUUAAUGUUUCAUGUUCAACCUGAAGUCUGAUGAGUCCUUUAAGUCCACGCUGGGACAGUGGAUGAUGUGGGCAGCAGGCCUGUGACUCCACGUGGACCCCCAUGAAUGCUGUCAGCGUGUCUACGCGAAGCUGUGCCAUUUACAGGAGAAACACUGGGUGGUGAGACUUGGAUGAGGUCAGCAGAGAAAGCGGCUAAACAGAUUCAGCCGUCCCCUCAGGUGACUGUGGAGCUAUGAAGACCUAAGGCAGGUACUUCUGUGCUAGCAAGGAAGGAUGUUUAUGAUAUAAUUUGAGGGGAAGAUAUAAAUCAGAGGUGUGGGGUGUGCAGAGGCCCCUGCCUUCCCCAGUGGGUGGACAGUACCUACACUGACACCCCCAUCAAGCGAAAGGUACUUGCCUUAGGCUGCAGGGUGCUUAAACAUUUCAAAGGUCAAUUGAAGAAAGAAGUAGAAAGAACAUUAGGAGAGGUAGUGGUGCGUGCCGAGGCACUGAGUGUGAGGAACAAGGUGCUUUCACGGGCUGUCUGCGCCCAGGUGCAGCCGGCGUCCCUGGGCCUGACAGUGGCCGGAUAGGCAGGUCCCGGAAGAGGCAUGUUUGCAAGCACCCAGCUAAGCCAGGGAGCAGCCGACCAGCAAAACAGGUCAGCUCUCGGGGACUCUUCAACCCCAGGGCUGUGGGGAGCACUGCGUGGAUUUUAAGCAAAUCCAAGUGACAAAACCAAUGGGCAUUUAGAAAUAUCAUCACAGUUACACGUAGAAAACUAACUGGAGGCCAAGUAACUGGAGGCCAAGCACCGUGACUCACACCUAUAAUCCCAGCACUUUGGGAGGCUGAGGCAGAAGGACUGUUUGAGCCCAGGAGUUUGAGACCAGUCUGGGCAACAUGACGAAACCCCAUCUCUACAAACAAUACAAACAUUAGCCAGGCAUGUGCACACUUGUGGUCCCAGCUACUCAGGAGGCUGAAGAGGGAGGAGGGCUUGAACCCGGGAGGCAGAGGUUGCAGUGAACCAAGACCACACCACUGCACUCCAGCCUGGGCAAUAGAGCCA